rnacentral:lncRNA from 13 species
UUCAGUUCCAUCCUCAUGAUCUGAUUGAACCUUAAAAAUUGCUUCCCUAAAGGCCCAAUUUCCAAACACAGUUAUAUUAGGGAUUAGGACUUUUGGGGGGUAAAAUACAAUUCAAUCCAUAACAGCUAUCCACUGUUUUGACAUUUCAUCUCUUAUAGCUGUGCCCUGCAGAAGAACUAAAGGAUGCCAAUGUAAUACAGAUAACCAUGGUGUUAUUGUAUGUAAAAUUAAGUCAUUUUGGCAGAAAUGGGCUCUACUUCUGUCAUAGAAAAUCAAACAGCUGGGCUUUGUGAUGCAUGUUUCCACGACUGCUACCUGACUUACUUGCUGUACUUCUGAUUUUAGAUGGCCCUUUAUUUAUGGCUCAAAUUAAAGUCAUCUGAUCAUCAAAAGUGGUGCUAUGAUUAUAUAUUUAUUGUGGGGGUCCUAUUGCUGCUUUUCUAUUGGAACCAGUUACGAAAUACUCUGGUACUUGAGAUUUCACCUACACCUUAAAUCAGAGCCUGUGGAAGCAAAUGCUUGCAAGACCAGGAAGAUAAUGAUAAACUCUUUAAGCUCUAAGAAGCCAGGGAGCUCAUAUCACCAGCGCCUACAUAGAAGGUAAUCAAUAAUGCUUGUUGUCUGCCUGCCUGACGUGGACAAAUAACCUACUGAACUUUACUUUACUCAGAUCCAGAUUGUUGACUUCACAGAACCAUGGAGUCCAAUAUACAUAAGGGCACUUCAAAACCUUUAAAGUAUUUAUCAAAUAGGAAGGAUUUUUUAAUUGCAUUUUAGGUUUUGGGGUACAUGUGAAGAACAUGCAAGAUAGUUGCAUAGGUACACACGUGGCAGUGUGAUUUGCUGCCUUCCUCCCCUAUAUCUGGCAUUUCUCCCCAUGCUAUCUCUCCCCAGC